GAAAGCGAGGCGCCGUGCUGCAGGAAGAUGGCGGCGCAGCGUCGCUUGUGCUAUGUUGACCUGCGGGAGGAUGGCUGUUGUGAGGGCACUAAGACACUUGACGAACCGUCUCUUACGUCUUCCAUGGAGUGGGACACCCAGGUAGUGAAGGGGUCCUCGCCACUUGGCCCCUCAAGGCUGGAGACGGAAGAGCCACCAUCUGGCCCACAGCUGCCGUCGUGGCUGCAGCCCGAGAGGUGUGCCGUGUUCCAGUGCGCGCAGUGCCACGCCGUGCUCGCUGACUCGGUGCACCUCGCCUGGGACCUGUCGCAGCCCCUCGGGGCCGUGGUCUUCUCCAGAGUCACAAAUAACGUGGUUUUGGAAGCUCCCUUCCUGGUUGGCAUUGAAGGUUCACUCAAAGGCAGCAUUUACAACCUUUUAUUCUGUAGUUCAUGUGGGAUUCCCAUUGGUUUCCAUCUGUAUUCUACCCAUGCUGCCCUGGCUGUCUUGAGAGGUCACUUCUGCCUCUCCAGUGAUAAAAUGGUGUGCUAUCUCUUAAAAACAAAAGCCAUAGUAAAGGCAUCUGAGAUGGAUAUUCACAACAUGCCUCUACCAGAAAAGGUUGCAGAGCUGAAAGAGAAGAUAAUGUUAACGCAUACUCAAUUAAAUUCACUGAUGGAGAUUCUAAAGGAAGCGACUCCUGACCAGUCCAAGCCAGAAAACUGACCCCAAACCAAAGCUUGAGUAUCAGAGUCAGGCCUUGACGCUGUCUUCAACAACAGAUGGCUGCCUGUAUCCUUGGACUAUACCAGGAGCCACAACUUGAGUGUCAGGAAACCUGGGUCCUUCAUCUUUUCAUUUUGACAUCAGGAGCCUACCUCAGCACAGGUCUGUGGAUAGGUUCCUUUUCUCGUCUCCAUAAUUUACUGCAUUAUCUGAAAUUACGCAUUCCAAGUAACAACACACAGUGAAAUCUCAGUGCAUUCUCAGUCCAUGCUGCUUUAUUGCCAAAAUAGAUAUAUAUAUAUAUAUAUACACACAUAUACACAUACACACACAGGUGCAGAGUUACCAACUCUUAAAGCAGUUCCAUUUUACAUCAAAGAAUAAAAUCUCUUCUAAAAUCCCUUCUAAAGAUGCAUAGAUUAAAAAGCAAGCUGCCUUUUGUAAUACUUUAAACAUUCAAUCAAAGUGUUAACAUCGAGUACACCAAUCGUGCAUUGGAGAAGAUGCAGAACAGCAACUAAAAACAGUGAGCAACAACUGUAAUUGACAGUACAUAAAACUAUGUGAAGGGUACUAUAUAAUAUGAAUCUUUUUAAUUACAAGUGAUGGGUGAUUUUAAGGUAAGCACCAAGACUGUUUUGUUGUUUAAGGACUGAUGAUGCUGUAUUGCCAGAAUUCCUUUCUUAUCCCUGGGAGAAAAGUAUAUUUUAAUCAGUGGCAUAACAUACCAUCACCACAGGAGACAAUCUUUUGAAAAAUGCCAGUAACCUUAAAAUAAUCUGUCUAUUCUGACUUAGGAGUAUGGGUUUCUGGAGAAAUUGUGAUGUCUGGUUUUCUAAUAAUUUUUGAUAUGCCUUAGUGGAAAAAUAGGAACAGUUUAGAGAAACUCUGUCCUUAAAUCUUUAUUGGUUUCAUUGGCAGAUAUAUUGUUAAUAAGUGGCAGAGAAAAUUUACAUAUGGGAUGACAUCUCACUUCCUGUAUUUGAGUGAAGACCAAACACUGCAAUGACUGUGUUAAUUCAAUUGUGAACUACUAGAAAGUUACCAUUACACUUAAACAUUCCCAAAGCUAUCUGGAGUGAAAUCCCACAGCAAAGAAAAUGAGGUUAAAACAAUUUGGAAAAAUUAUUUUUCAACCUGGAAGGGGCCUAGUGAAAAAUCAUUUAGUCUAAUCCGUCUUCUAUUUAGGCCUCUUUCAGAUAUAAUGAAUUCCAUUCGUAAAUUAUUAUUGUCAAAAUUACUUGUAGUUAUAAGGGUUAUUCCAAAGGCAGGAAUCUUCUCAAAAAUUUUAAUAAAUUCACCACAAUAAACAUCUAUUAUCUUCAUCAAUCAAGAAAAUAAAUGGCAAGGUUUUUUCUUUUUUUCAUAAUGGGAAAACUUGCACCUGUUUACCGGGAAUCAAAAGCUUUAGGCAAAAAGUUUUUAGGCAAAAAACUAUGCAGUCUGACCAAAUCAUCAAGAAUAAAACUCUGGCUAUUAAAAAAAAUUAACAAAAAAAUUAAUGUAACACAGUAACAAAAGAGAAACCAAACCACAGCUGUGUCAACAUUUUCAUGAUUAUUUCCACAAAACAUAGCGGUCUCCUUUGCUGCAAGGAUCCUUUAUAGCUCGUCAAUACCAGUACCACCCAGAAGAGUUGCCUAGUUAUCUGAAAAUCCUGGAACAUAGGAAGUAUGUGCAUAUUGCUCCUAUUUACUUCUAGGAUACUACCCUGUUCCGAAAAUAACACCUAGCCGGACAAUCAGCUCUAAUGUGUCUUUUGGAGCAAAAAUUAAUAUAAAACCCAGUCUUAUUUUACUAUACAAGACCGGGUCUUAUAUUAAUUUUUGUUCCAAAAGACACAUUAGAGCUGAUUGUCUGACUAGGGCUUAUUUUCGGGGAAACAAGGUAAUUUUAAGAGAUGCAAACUUAAGCCACAUAAACUUUAUCAAGACAAACCCCAUACCUAACUGUUUUACGUACUUCACACUGGUAUUCCCUACUUUUCCUACCCUUUCUGAAACUCUGCACCUUUCUGAUUAGUAUAGCCAUAGCAGCUUAUUUAUUUAUUCAACAUGCUUAGUUUGUGCCUUUUGUAUUGUUGUUAAACAUGCUUGGGGACAAAUGGAGCCAGGCAAGAGGUUAGAGGGUGAGCACUGUUAUGCUCUAUUCCUGACAGUUUGAAUGUCUUGUGGUUCCCCGUUUAUCUUCUAGCUCCCAUUUUCAAUGGAAGUAAGGUAACCUUUACUUAGAAAAUGAAAACUAAUAAUCCAAACAAUAAAGUCAAGCUAUUGGUUUAAGUCUCUAUCCCGUCAUUAUUAGUAAGUGCAUAUAUGUAAUUACUAGUAAACACAUAACACUGGACAUUUUCAGUCAUGCAUUAGAAUAUUGGUACUCUAAAAUCAAGUCAUGGGUCUGCCACUAUUGACUGCACUUUCAUCCAGACCCAGUUUUAAACAUGCAGAGUUUAAAUCCCUUGAUUCAGAGGAAGGAUACAUGCAAAGUUUGAACCAAAAAUGUGGCUUAAUAAAGUGAUUGCUUAGAAAUGCAGGCAGAUGCUCUACAUCUAUCACAAUGCUGCUUCAGAACAGUGGUACAAAAGUUACAGAAAAAAGGUUAAAAUUAGGACCACUAUUCAGUUAUAAAAGGCUGGUCCGUUAGGGUAGAGAAUGAUGUAAAAACUUGGAAAAGAAUUGGAGCAGUAAGUUUUCUUGCCCAUUUACUGACUGCUACAGCAUAGAGCGUAGGUAGGGAUGGUAAAGACGCUUAGGCAGAAUGGUUUCUUUUCUGAUUCACAUUAAUGAGCAUUGCCUGUACAGCCCCUGGGAAAAGGAGUUUAUGAACAGCAGAGCUAAUACAAUGUAAACUCAAAAUCAAUGCCCUGAAAUUUAGCAUAGCCCUCUGCUUUUGAACUGUUGGCCAACGGUUCCUUCCAAAUAUGGUAUAAUUAAUAGCCAAGCAAUGUUCUAAAUGAACUAGAAGUAAUUUGCUUGCAUCAGCAGCACCAUGAGAAUGUAAACUCCUGGAGGCCAAGGGUCUCUUCAUAUUUUGCAUAUUACAGGUACACAAAGAGUAAACAUGAGACCACAACAACAAUGAAAAGUAACUGCAUACUUUGAGAUUACAAAAACUUACAGCACAUUUUAGCAUUUAGAACUAUUAAGGUGGCUGUGAAGGGUAAUCUUUAAUUGUUCUAAGUAACUAAGCUGUUGGCAUUACAGUAAUAUGCAGUUAUGUCCUCAUGAUCAUGCAGAUGUCUCAAUAUUGCUUGGUUAUUCCAGUGUCUCUAACACCAACUGAUGGUGUAGGAUAUUUAAAGAGGAGCUAUAAUCAAUUUAAUACAGCCUUUCCCCUAUCCUUUGGAGUUGCCAAAGAAGAAUUAAAUACUCAAUAGGGACUAUUUUCUUAGAUCUAUUCCACUUUUAGUCCCACCCCCAACCCCUGCAGGACAAGGGAACAUAAACCCAAACUUUUCAAGGAUCUUCAAGGUGCUAAAUGGCCAAGAUGGCAUGAAGUCACCCUCAUUCCAUUAUAUCCUGAUGUGAGUUAUACGAUUCCUCAGGUCAAGAAACUAGUUUGCUCGGUUCUUGUUACAAUAAGCAGUCACAGGCCAUAGGCCUAGCACAUCUACAUUAGACAAGGUUUAAAAAACCAACACACACUCUUUGGCUCUUCAAUCCUUUUGUUUUACACCUUUAAAUGCUAACUCCCCUAAACUAACCAUAGGCAUGAGGAAAGGCCAGCUAUCCAAGUUAUCUGUUUGGUUUUUUUCAACCCUAAAUACACUACAAACUUUUCCUUUUUAAAAAUGCACCCAGAAAACUAAUGGAAAAAGAUAAGGUGACAAAGCAAAAAGUAUGCUAUUAGCCUGGUGCUAAAAGCAGAAUCCCUACAGGAUGGCUUUUGUGGGACUGCCUUAGUAGUACAUUUGUUUCCAGGUUAAGCACUAGAAGUUUAAUUCAAUGGCUGUUAACACUCUGUUCUAGGAAACAAAUAGGAUCUUUAACCUUUAACUUACACAAAAGUUGCUAUUUUUCACACACUGACUUAUUCAGAUACAUUCAUAGUUUUAAAAGUACCUUUUAUAUGCUCUUUAUCUAGAACAUCUUUUUGUGCAACUGUUAAUCACAGAGCCUCACAAACUCAAGUAGCAAUACUUCCUCUACAACCUUGCAACUUCUCUACAUGCAAAACUGUUAUUGCUACUAAAAUUCUACCUCUUGAAAAUUAUUCAUUUAAUGGCUUUUUUUUUUUUUUUGCAACAGGAAAUAUCCUUUCCUAUAUACUGUGCUAUUUUGCAUUCAUUACCUUUUCAGAGGUAUUUUUUUAAAAAAAUGUUUAAAUGCUUUUCAGAAAUGGAUUCUUGCAGGCGCUAAACUACUUGAGCCAAUACAACUACUAAAAAUACACUAUGAGAAUGUAACCCUGGGGCCCUGGAGAUCUGCUGCCAAAAAGUUUGUCUAAGCUUGCUUCUACACAGGAGACACACAUUAAAAUAGUUUUACAUUUCCUAUCAUGCUAACUGUAGAACCUGUGCCAGUAAAUCCUGGACUCUCCUAAUACCAAGAUUUAAAAAUCACCUCAAAAAACUGCCAUUUCCAAGCUCUAAAGGCAGCUUUUAGAGGUAGGAAUUUCUUUUCUACAGAAAGCUGUCUUAUGUUUUCAGAACAAAACUUUUAUGUCUACAAGGAAAGUAGAAAAAAGUGAAAGCUGUCUGAGGCGGCUUACUAUAACCAAGCAAGAGUUACUACAGGGCAAUCUAGGUAGGCUCCAUCAGUUACAUUCCCAACCCUCAUGAAAAGGUCUGGAAUCCCAUCGAUGCAUAAUUCAGCAGAUUUGGAAAUAGGAAAAGCCUGUGACAAAUUAAUCUAGGACACUGAACUACUGACCAGUGUUCUUCUGUUAGCAUGCUGCAAACAGGAAAUGUAAAUGGUCUGCAGAUUAGAAAAACACUCAAGCAAUUAACACAGCAUCUCAGUUAAGACAGUCAAAAUAUACUUGCUUGAUGCAAAAGGAGUAGGAAACUAAUAAACCUAGAAGGACAUACAAUGUGAAAACAGGGAAAGAACAAUUUCACCUCAAACGGAGAACAAAGCAGAAUCGUAAAAUGGGGCCUCAUUUUAAUUUAAGGUUUCAUAAGACACAAAGGCAGCUGGUUUCCAGCUACCUCAUGGAAAGCGUAAGUAUCCUCAAACACAGUAUUUCACAUUAUGACCCCACAUUUCUGUUCAUAAAUGAGUCUUUUUGGCCUAAUCUCCUUUCCCCAGGGAGUAUAUCAUGGAUACAGAAAUUUAUGAAAAAAGAAAAGAUUUUUCACUCUUUUUACACUAUGGGUUAUAAUAAUUUAUCCUGAAGUUUAAAUUAUUACUAGGUUCAUGCACUAACCUCUAACAUGGCACUACAAUACGCUACCAAGCACUAAUGCUUACAAAACUAUACACAUCUCAAAAUGGAAGACAUUGGUGAUUUUGUUGUUCUUAAACAACUUGUAACAUUUGUCCACAAGUAUUAAAAUAUACAUAUAUAUAUUUCUAUUGCACAUA